GUGGCAGUAUUCAUGCCACUUUUGUAAGUGCUUGCUUCGAUACAGAGAAGAUUAGUGUUGCCCCUGUGCAAGAAUGACACUUUUGCUCCCUCGAGGUAACAAAUGAGCUA